rnacentral:rRNA from 1 species
GACGAACGCUGGCGGCGUGCUUAACACAUGCAAGUCGAACGGAAAGGCCCUGCUUUUGUGGGGUGCUCGAGUGGCGAACGGGUGAGUAACACGUGAGUAACCUGCCCUUGACUUUGGGAUAACUUCAGGAAACUGGGGCUAAUACCGGAUAGGAGCUCCUGCUGCAUGGUGGGGGUUGGAAAGUUUCGGCGGUUGGGGAUGGACUCGCGGCUUAUCAGCUUGUUGGUGGGGUAGUGGCUUACCAAGGCUUUGACGGGUAGCCGGCCUGGGAGGGUGACCGGCCACAUGGGGAUGGAGAGAGGGCCAAGGCCCCGGGGGGGGGCAGGGGGGGGGAAUAUUGAAAAAGGGGGGGAAGCCUGGUGGAGGAACGCCGGGGGGGGGAAGACGGCCUUGGGGUUGUAAACCGCUUUGGCCGGGGACGAAGGGUGGGGGGGGGGAAGGGGAAAAGAAGCAGCGGAGAAUUAGGU